rnacentral:rRNA from 1 species
UACGUAGGGGGCAAGCGUUGUCCGGAAUUAUUGGGCGUAAAGAGCUUGUAGGCGGUCUGUCGCGUCUGCUGUGAAAAUCCGGGGCUCAACCCCGGACUUGCAGUGGGUACGGGCAGACUAGAGUGUGGUAGGGGAGACUGGAAUUCCUGGUGUAGCGGUGAAAUGCGCAGAUAUCAGGAGGAACACCGAUGGCGAAGGCAGGUCUCUGGGCCACUACUGACGCUGAGAAGCGAAAGCAUGGGGAGCGAACAGG